UACGGAGGAUGCGAGCGUUAUCCGGAUUUAUUGGGUUUAAAGGGUGCGUAGGCGGACUGUCAAGUCAGCGGUAAAAUUGAGAGGCUCAACCUCUUCCCGCCGUUGAAACUGGUGGCCUUGAGUGGAUGAGAAGUACGCGGAAUGCGUGGUGUAGCGGUGAAAUGCAUAGAUAUCACGCAGAACUCCGAUUGCGAAGGCAGCGUACCGGCAUCCAACUGACGCUGAGGCACGAAAGCGUGGGGAUCAAACAGG
rnacentral:rRNA from 1 species